rnacentral:rRNA from 1 species
GAUGAACGCUGGCGGCGUGCCUAAUACAUGCAAGUCGAGCGAACAGACGAGGAGCUUGCUCCUCUGACGUUAGCGGCGGAAGGGUGAGUAAAACGUGGAUAACAUACCUAUAAGACUGGGAUAAAUUCGGGAAACCGGAGCUAAUACCGGAUAAUAUAUUGAACCGCAUGGUUCAAUAGUGAAAGACGGUUUUGCUGUCACUUAUAGAUGGAUCCGCGCCGCAUUAGCUAGUUGGUAAGGUAACGGCUUACCAAGGCAACGAUGCGUAGCCGACCUGAGCGGGUGAUCGGCCACACUGGAACUGAGACACGGUCCAGACUCCUACGGGAGGCAGCAGUAGGGAAUCUUCCGCAAUGGGCGAAAGCCUAACGGAGCAACGCCGCGUGAGUGAUGAAGGUCUUCGGAUCGUAAAACUCUGUUAUUAGGGAAGAACAAAUGUGUAAGUAACUAUGCACGUCUUGACGGUACCUAAUCAGAAAGCCACGGCUAACUACGUG